UACGUAGGGGGCGGGCGUUGUCCGGAUUUAUUGGGCGUAAAGAGCGUGUAGGCGGCCAGGUAGGUCUGCUGUGAAAACUCGAGGCUCAACCUCGAGACGUCGGCGGAAACCAUCUGGCUAGAGUCCGGAAGAGGAGAGUGGAAUUCCUGGUGUAGCGGUGAAAUGCGCAGAUAUCAGGAAGAACACCCGUGGCGAAGGCGGCUCUCUGGGACGGUACUGACGCUGAGACGCGAAAGCGUGGGGAGCGAACAGG
rnacentral:rRNA from 1 species